GUGCCUAUACAUGCAGUCGAACGAACUCUGGUAUUGAUUGGUGCUUGCAUCAUGAUUUACAUUUGAGUGAGUGGCGAACUGGUGAGUAACACGUGGGAAACCUGCCCAGAAGCGGGGGAUAACACCUGGAAACAGAUGCUAAUACCGCAUAACAACUUGGACCGCAUGGUCCGAGUUUGAAAGAUGGCUUCGGCUAUCACUUUUGGAUGGUCCCGCGGCGUAUUAGCUAGAUGGUGGGGUAACGGCUCACCAUGGCAAUGAUACGUAGCCGACCUGAGAGGGUAAUCGGCCACAUUGGGACUGAGACACGGCCCAAACUCCUACGGGAGGCAGCAGUAGGGAAUCUUCCACAAUGGACGAAAGUCUGAUGGAGCAACGCCGCGUGAGUGAAGAAGGGUUUCGGCUCGUAAAACUCUGUUGUUAAAGAAGAACAUAUCUGAGAGUAACUGUUCAGGUAUUGACGGUAUUUAACCAGAAAGCCACGGCUAACUACGUGCCAGCAGCCGCGGUAAUACGUAGGUGGCAAGCGUUGUCCGGAUUUAUUGGGCGUAAAGCGAGCGCAGGCGGUUUUUUAAGUCUGAUGUGAAAGCCUUCGGCUCAACCGAAGAAGUGCAUCGGAAACUGGGAAACUUGAGUGCAGAAGAGGACAGUGGAACUCCAUGUGUAGCGGUGAAAUGCGUAGAUAUAUGGAAGAACACCAGUGGCGAAGGCGGCUGUCUGGUCUGUAACUGACGCUGAGGCUCGAAAGUAUGGGUAGCAAACAGGAUUAGAUACCCUGGUAGUCCAUACCGUAAACGAUGAAUGCUAAGUGUUGGAGGGUUUCCGCCCUUCAGUGCUGCAGCUAACGCAUUAAGCAUUCCGCCUGGGGAGUACGGCCGCAAGGCUGAAACUCAAAGGAAUUGACGGGGGCCCGCACAAGCGGUGGAGCAUGUGGUUUAAUUCGAAGCUACGCGAAGAACCUUACCAGGUCUUGACAUACUAUGCAAAUCUAAGAGAUUAGACGUUCCCUUCGGGGACAUGGAUACAGGUGGGUGCAUGGUUGUCGUCAGCUCCUGUCCUGAAAAUGUUGGGGUUAAGUCCCGCAACGAGCGCAACCCUUAUUAUCAGUUGCCACCAUUAAAUUGGGCACUCUGGUGAGACUGCCGGUGAAAACCCGAGGAAAAGGGGGGGGGUGGAAGUCAAAUUAACUAUGGCCCCUUUUAACCGGGGGUACACACUGGUUCCAAAGGAGGGGGAC
rnacentral:rRNA from 2 species